GACGUAGGUGGCGAACGUUAUCCGGAAUUAUUGGGCGUAAAGGGUGCGUAGGCGGCAUGAUAAGUUAUUGGCGGUAAAUCGAGGCUCAACCUCGUGGAAACUAAUAAUACUGUUUUGCUUGAGUGCAGGAGAGGUUAACGGAACUCCAUGUGGAGCGGUAAAAUGUGUAGAUAUAUGGAAGAACAUCAAUAACGGCGAAGGCAGUUAACUAUUCUGUCACUGACGUUGAGGCACGAAAGCGUGGGGAGCAAAAAGG
rnacentral:rRNA from 1 species